GAUGAACGCUGGCGGCGUGCUUAACACAUGCAAGUCGAACGAAGCGCUUGAACAGAUUUCUUCGGAUUGAAGUUUUUGCGACUGAGUGGCGGACGGGUGAGUAACGCGUGGGUAACCUGCCUCAUACAGGGGGAUAACAGUUAGAAAUGACUGCUAAUACCGCAUAAGCGCACGGUGCUGCAUGGCACAGUGUGAAAAACUCCGGUGGUAUGAGAUGGACCCGCGUCUGAUUAGCUAGUUGGUGGGGUAACGGCCUACCAAGGCGACGAUCAGUAGCCGGCCUGAGAGGGUGAACGGCCACAUUGGGACUGAGACACGGCCCAAACUCCUACGGGAGGCAGCAGUGGGGAAUAUUGCACAAUGGGGGAAACCCUGAUGCAGCGACGCCGCGUGAGCGAAGAAGUAUUUCGGUAUGUAAAGCUCUAUCAGCAGGGAAGAAAUAGGACGGUACCUGACUAAGAAGCACCGGCUAAAUACGUGCCAGCAGCCGCGGUAAUACGUAUGGUGCAAGCGUUAUCCGGAUUUACUGGGUGUAAAGGGAGCGUAGACGGUUGUGUAAGUCUGAUGUGAAAGCCCGGGGCUCAACCCCGGGACUGCAUUGGAAACUAUGUAACUAGAGUGUCGGAGAGGUAAGCGGAAUUCCUAGUGUAGCGGUGAAAUGCGUAGAUAUUAGGAGGAACACCAGUGGCGAAGGCGGCUUACUGGA
rnacentral:rRNA from 1 species